UACGAAGGGGGCUAGCGUUGUUCGGAAUUACUGGGCGUAAAGCGUGCGCAGGCGGCUUCUCAAGUCAGGGGUGAAAGCCCAGAGCUCAACUCUGGAAUUGCCUUUGAGACUGAGUGGCUUGAGUACGAGAGAGGUGAGUGGAAUUCCCAGUGUAGAGGUGAAAUUCGUAGAUAUUGGGAAGAACACCGGUGGCGAAGGCGGGUCUCUGGGCCGAUACUGACGCUGAGGAGCGAAAGCGUGGGGAGCGAACAGG
rnacentral:rRNA from 1 species